ensembl:lncRNA
AUUUGGUUUAUUGGUGGCCAUUUUAAAUGAUCCUCUAAACCUCCAGUCCUUCAGUACCUCCUCCUCCCCUUCCACGCCCCACCAGGCAGGCCUUCACCUUCUCUUCGCCCCUCGUCACAUCAUCCACAGAAACCAAAAGCCAACUGAAGGGGUAUUUUCUGACCGUAACACACAAUCUGUCAGCGUUUUCAAUGGCGUAAAAGUGCAUUCAUCAUCAUGUUCACGUAAGUGUUGUUACUCAAGGCUGUGCUCAGAUCUGUACCGCCACAAACAGGUUGUAAGAUGUAGUGUGAAUUACAGUAGAGGAAUCUUGAGAGCUUUUAGCGCCCCUGCAGGUGGAACAGAGAACAACAGCUGCAGUGUUAUACAAUAGUCCUUCACCCAGGUUGUGCAUCUACAUAGAUGUACAUACAGUUAUGUAUAUAUAUAUAUAUGCAACGUCGAAACAAGAGCAGUCAUCACAUCACAAGUGGUGGGCGUUCAUCAAACCCACACCAGGUCUGGUCUGGUCCAGAACACGCUAGCACCAAACAAGACUUAAGGGUCUGGUCCAUAAGACUCUAGUCUAAACCAAACCAGGUCUGGUCUGGUCCAGAAGACUCUAGUCUAAACCGAACCAGGUCUGGUCUGGUCCAGAACACUCUAGUCUAAACCUAACCAGGUCUGGUCUGGUCCAGAAGACUCUAGUCCAAACCAGGUCUGGUCUAGUCCAGAACACUCUAGCACCAAACCAGACUUAAGGGUCUGGUCCCGUAGACUCUAGUCUAAACCUAACCAGGUCUGGUCUGGUCCAGAGGCGUUGGGACGCCUCAGGAACCAGAGACAGACGGCGUAGGGCCGGGUUCCCCAGAGAACCGUCACAGAACACGCAGUUAGUCCGACCGCAGCAGCUGAAUAAAUACAAAAGUAAAGAUGCGUCAGCUGAGAUAAUCCUCUGGGCUGCGUUAGAAAAGGUGUAGCAUGAUCAUACGUGUUUACUGUCCCUCCUUAUGUACAGAAAUAAUAUAUGCAAGAGCUUGUGUUCCUUCUCUAAUCCCUCUCCCAGCGUGUGGCGGCUCGAGCGUGUCUCCGACGUCAGACCGGUGAACGUUGACCCAGCACC